ACUUAUUCGCAUCCUGACAACAGGCUAAAUAUUACAAGAGCAGCAAUGCUACUGUUUCUUGGAGCAAUUAUGACGCUGUUAGAUCAUCAUCCUGAUAAAGUGAGACCAGAAAGAGACUAGAUGUGGAAGAAAAGCUGCAGUGUGGGAUUUCUAGAUCAUGCUGUCAUCAUUAUUGAUCCUGAUUUUUUUUAAUGCCUCUUGGUAUUUUUUGCUGUCUCCAAUAGAUGUUCCAGGCGGCUGUACACAAAGGAGCUGAGUAAGGAGACAAGUAGCUGUGUUAGCAUGAAGAUAAAGCCCAAGCCCAUGGAGGUUAACAAGGGAGCAGAUAUCCCCGUGCAGCCCAUGGAGGAACAGGUAUCCCCCUGCAACCUGUGAAGGACCCCACACCAGAGCAGGCGGGGAUGCCCAAAGGAGGCUGUGACCCAGUGGGAAGCCCACACAGGAGCUGGCUCCUGGCAGGACCCAUGGCCCUGUGGGCAGAGUAGCCCACACUGGAGCAGGUUUGCUGGCAGGACUUGUGACCCCAUGAGGGACCCAUGCUGGAGCAGUCUGUUCCUAAAGGACUGCACCCUGUAGGAUGGAUUCACAUUGGAAUUCAUGGAGGACUGUCUCCCAUGCAAAGGAGCCCCCACUGGAGCAGGGGAAGAGUGUGAGGAGCCCUCCCCCUGAAGAGAAAAGAGCAAAAGAGAGAUCUGAUGAACUGACCACAACCCCUAUUCCCCAUCCCCCUGUACCACUGUGGGAGGGAUUAUAGAGAAAUUGUGAAUAAAGUUAAGCCUGGUCAGAAGAG